rnacentral:rRNA from 1 species
UACAGAGGGUGCGAGCGUUGUUCGGAAUUAUUGGGCGUAAAAGGGCGCGUAGGCGGUUGCGGUAAGUCACCUGUGAAAUCUCCUGGCUCAACUGGGAGCUUGCAGGCGAAACUGCCGUGCUGGAGUGUGGGAGAGGUGCGUGGAAUUCCCGGUGUAGCGGUGAAAAUGCGUAGAUAUCGGGAGGAACACCUGUGGCGAAAGCGGCGCACUGGACCACAACUGACGCUGAGGCGCGAAAAGCUAGGGGGGAGCAAACAGG